CUUCGCACGAGCGUGGAAAGAAGAACAAGAAGACAUGAUCACUUCAAGGAAGGGCGCUAUUCACCUAAUCGGAAUCCACAUGGUGCCCAACAUCGUCGGCGUCGUGCGCUUUUCCUACGGCUUUCACAGGACUGGGGCGCGAACAGAGGGGCUCGUAUUCGACGUGUCGCUUGGCAUCGAAUGCGUUUUGAACAUCUUCAGCGACGCAGUGGUCAUCCUACUUCUUUGGCAGGCGGUACGGCUGCGUUCAGUAAUUACUUUUCUAUACGUUAAAUGUGCGUAAGUAAGCA